CGUAUUCAUUCACAUGUUCAUCUGCUCAGGCAUUCAUUGAAUAUUUAUUGUCUAAAUUAUGUACAGUGUAGACACAGAUGCCAAAGGAAGAAGAGUUUGGCUGUCACCAUCACUGUGGCUUGUGUGACAGGCCCUGAAGUGGAGAGUUGCUGCAGGGGCUGCUGUGGGAUUGGUAAACCCAGGUUGGAGAGGACCAGAAUCGCCCCUGGAGGAAACAAGCACCUUCAGUCCUCCAAGUGCUAUUGGGUCCCAGUGACUUGCAGAACAACACACGCCCACUGAGCCAGUGGGAACUGACCUGCCUGCCGCCUGCUACCUGAGGCAUUAUAUUGGACUUGAGAAACUCCUGAGUCUCUGGAAUGAUUUACUGAGUGUUGAAAUUUCUAGAACUCCCAAGCCUGUUCAGGAUGAGAUCUGGAGGGAGUAAGAGCUAUAUGAAUCAAACAGCACAACUCCUGGAGCCCUAUCGAGAGAUACCUCCUGAAUUCCUGAGUUUAUUUUAGCAUAUUCUAAAUCAUUUAGGGAGCCCAAG
rnacentral:lncRNA from 1 species